CCCUAUUUCUCUCACAAAAGCAGGAAGAAAGCAUCGAACACGAACGACUGACUUUUAAUCUUGUGAACGACUUCGAAUAUACUCUUAAUCAUGCCUAGCAAGUGUGUAUGCUGCCAAGAGGGAAAUGCAUGUAAUUGCAUUGGCCAGUGCUGUUCCACGGGAGAGUGCUGUAAUGGUGGAUCAUGCUGUGUAAAUCAGUGCUCAAAUUCCGCGUGCAAGUCUUCGUCCAACAGCUGUUGCACCAACGGAUGUUCAUGCACUGAGGGAAACUGUAAGUGCUAGAAGGAUCUCUGCUCUUUGCUCCGGAACGGAAGGUUGUUAAAUGCAGCUCUAAUUUAUAUAUGACGUCUCUUCUGCCGAUGUAUACCUCGUGGAUUUGACAUGUAUAUUGUUUAUACCACAUGCCAGAUUUUUUUUAUGUAUCAUAUGUAUAUUUACUCUUUGUAAAAAAUAAUAAAGUAAGUUAUUAAAAAUGGUGACACAAAUGCUUUACUAUAAAUAGUUAAGAGAUUACAUUGCAUUUAUAUGUUUUGUUACUUUUUUAUUAUCCCUGUAUUACAUUCUUCAAUGAUGUUAUAUAUGAACUUUGAAAAACUGGGACCAUUUUGAAAGACUCAAUGUGAUUAAACAUAUUUAAGUAAUUGAAA
rnacentral:lncRNA from 1 species